rnacentral:rRNA from 1 species
GACGUAGGGAGCGAGCGUUACUCGGAAUUACUGGGCGUAAAGCGCAUGUAGGCGGCCGAACAAGUCAGGUGUGAAAUCCUCGGGCUUAACCUGGGAAGUGCACUUGAUACUGUCCGGCUAGAGUUUGGCAGAGGAAAGUAGAAUUCCCGGUGUAGCGGGGAAAUGCGUAGAUAUCGGGAGGAAUCCCAGUGGCGAAUGCGGCUUUCUGGGCCAAUACUGACGCUGAGUUGCGAAACCGUGGGGAGCAAACAGG